CCUACGGGAGGCAGCAGUGGGGGAUAUUGCACAAUGGGGGGAACCCUGAUGCAGCGACGCAGCGGGGGUGAAGAAGGGCCUCGGCGCGUAAAGCCCUGUCAGCAGGGAAGAAAAUGACGGUACCUGAAGAAGAAGCCCCGGCUAACUACGUGCCAGCAGCCGCGGUAAUACGUAGGGGGCAAGCGGUAUCCGGAUUUACUGGGUGGAAAGGGGGCGCAGACGGCGAUGCAAGCCAGGAGGGAAAGCCCGGGGCCCAACCCCGGGACUGCUCUUGGAACUGCGUGGCUGGAGUGCAGGAGGGGCAGGCGGAAUUCCUGGUGUAGCGGUGAAAUGCGUAGAGAUCAGGAGGAACACCGGUGGCGAAGGCGGCCUGCUGGACUGCAACUGACGUUGAGGCCCGAAAGCGUGGGGAGCAAACAGGAUUAGAUACCCUAGUAGUC
rnacentral:rRNA from 1 species